AUUAAAUUCUACAUGUCCAAUGAUUCAUUCAAGUAUUAUCAUUUAUAUAUAAUAUGAUUUUGUCUGAUAUUCAGUGGCAAGCUUGCCAUGGCAACUGGUCAUGCCACGCCAAUAAACCUGCAUCUAUUUGACUAAUGCAAAUUAUUAAAAACUUGCAUAGCAUGAUCUGUUGCAAUGACUUCACCACUGACAGUGUUAUAAAUGUACAUACAAAAGCAAGAAGUUAUAAGGGGGGGGGGGUGAAUAGGUUGUUGGAUUCCACCAAUCUUAUUAAUACAGCGGAUUGCGGAUUUAUGUAAUAUUUUGGCUGAGAUUGGGGAUUUUGCUUGCAAUUCAGUUCGAAUUUGCAAGGUGUUUGAUAUUCAAAUUGCACUUUUCCUACAUACUGAACAGGUGUCUUAGGGGCUGUUUACAUGAUGGAAGGUGGGAUGUCAUUAUUUUGAUGUGUUGAAAUAAGUCAGUAGGCUAAACAAAAGUUAAAAUGCUGGUUAAGAGAAUUCAAAUAUUGUGGAGAAGAUCUUGUAGUUCCAGAAGACUGUUAUUAUGUUUCGUUUACAGUUAACUAAUUAAUCUAUCUCAAGAAAAUAAUGAAUUUUGCACUGUGACUUGUUUCAAUACAUCAAAAUAACCCCGGCUCACAUCUCGUCAUGGCAAAGCGGGAUCAUAUAUAAAACAGCCCCUUAUCCAGCAAAUUACGCAUGCUGUCUUUGAUCCCUUAGGGGUGAGACAGCACUUUCCUUGCGAUAGUAACUUCUAGUUUAUUUGUAUUUUACCCACCGCAAAAGUUUAGCUUGUUCAGGGAGGAUACACGUGCGUUCACGUGCGUACGGAAGCGUAUAAGGAAUGGAUCAUUAGCAAAUGAUGGGGAGUGGUCCAUUUGCAACAUGUACGAUUAUUUUUUCAAACUUUUUUGCUUGUGUCGAUUAUUUUUUUUAAUAAUCCCUUGCUCGAAUUUUUUUUUUUCCAAAAAUUUUUGGCGCGGGGGGGGGGGGUUAGAACUUAAAAUUUUUUCAGGACAUAAAAAUGGGGUCAAAACAAUUUUUCAGGACUAACAUCAGUUUAGUUAAGGUUUAAAACACAUUUUCCCUGACAAAUUCUUCUUAAAGCAAUUAAAACGCUUUUUUGCACCAAUACUACCAUUUUCGAGCUUCCGUGAAGCGUGCAUUUAUAACUACGUUUCAAAACGUUUCUUCAGCAUGAGUUUGUCAAUCAUAACUUUUUGUUUUGCAAUAAUAACUUUUGUGGGCGUGGUGUCAAGCACAUUGUUUUGCACGCGAAAAUUUCUUAUUUUUCACACGGACUGACUUUAUACUGACAAAAUUGCUAUAGAAAGCGAAAUAACAGAUUUAUAGCACCUUCUGGAUAUGUUUACGUAACAAACCUCUGUAAUACAAGUGCCCUUUUGAGUUUUGACGCCGAAAUUCAAAGUUUCGCGUGCAAAACAAUAUGUUCUACUCCACGCCCACAGAAGUUAUUAUGUCAACACAAAAUGUUUUAAGAGCGAAAUAAAAAGUUUUGAAUGACAAACUCAUGCUGAAGAAACGUUUUAAAACCUAGUUAUAAAUGCACGCUUCACGGAAGCUCGAAAAUGGUAGUAUCUUUGGAAAAUGCAGGGACAGCUUGGAGCACAUGCAUGUUUAGGAUGUUUACUGUAUUCUGUAACUGUGUCUGUGCUGAACAAUGUUGACUCAACUAUAUGUAUAAAUCUUUUUUUGUAAUUUUGUAAGGAUUGCAAUAUAUGUCCAUGUCUAGUUCAUAUUUAACUUUGGAAAGUGUAAGGAUGGUUUGGAACGCAUUGAUCGUGUGUUGUAAUUUU
rnacentral:lncRNA from 1 species